rnacentral:rRNA from 1 species
CCUACGGGGGGCAGCAGUGGGGAAUAUUGGGCAAUGGGCGCAAGCCUGACCCAGCAACGCCGCGUGAAGGAAGAAGGCUUUCGGCUUGUAAACCUCUUUUGUCAGGGACGAAGCAAGUGUCGGUACCUGACGAGUAAGCCACGGCUAACUACGUGCCAGCAGCCGCGGUACUACGUAGGGGGCAAGCGUUAUCCGGAUUGAUUGGGUGUAAAGGGCGUGUAGGCGGGAAUGCAAGUCAGAUGUGAAAACUAUGGGCUGAACCCAUAGCCUGCAUUUGAAACUGUAUGUCUUGAGUGCUGGAGAGGCAAUCGGAAUUCCGUGUGUAGCGGUGAAAUGCGUAGAUAUAAGGAGGAACACCAGUGGCGAAGGCGGAUUGCUGGACAGUAACUGACGCUGAGGCGCGAAAGCGUGGGGAGCAAACAGGAUUAGAUACCCGGGUAGUC